UUUAAAUACAUUCAUCAGUUUCCGUGUCUGAUUUUGAUCGUCCGUCAUUUUUUUAUGAUUAGUAUUUUUUUCUUUUUAGAUGAUAAAACUUUAUGAGUGAUUUAUGUUUUUAUUUUUUUUUUCAAAUAAGACGAAUGAUUAAGGUUGGAUAUGGAAACUCAUGACUACACUUAAA
rnacentral:pre_miRNA from 1 species